UACGUAGGGACCAAGCGUUGUUCGGAUUUACUGGGCGUAAAGGGCGCGUAGGCGGCAUGACAAGUCACUUGUGAAAUCUCCGGGCUUAACUCGGAACGGCCAAGUGAAACUGUCAAGCUAGAGUGCGGAAGGGGCAAUCGGAAUUCUUGGUGUAGCGGUGAAAUGCGUAGAUAUCAAGAGGAACACCUGAGGUGAAGACGGGUUGCUGGGCCGACACUGACGCUGAUGCGCGAAAGCCCAGGGGAGCAAACGGG
rnacentral:rRNA from 1 species